rnacentral:rRNA from 1 species
GAUGCGAUCAUACCAGCACUAAAGCACCGGAUCCCAUCAGAACUCCGAAGUUAAGCGUGCUUGGGCGAGAGUAGUACUAGGAUGGGUGACCUCCUGGGAAGUCCUCGUGUUGCAUCCCUC